AUCCCUAACCGGUAUCAUUGCCCAAAAUGUUAACUACCAAAACAACUUCACAAGGAGCCAGAUAGUGUUGUGCACGAGGAGACAGGCCGCGACCACGACUAGUUCUGUACGGGGGAUUUUGGGCUAGAGCCCUGACGCUCGAAUUUAAAGUUAUCACCCAUCUUUUGCAGUACGGUUUUGGAAGCAUAUAAACGUCGACUACCUGUGCUAAUUAGCAAACGUUUGCUAUCGGAGUCUCCGAUCACCCGAGUUUAAACGCAAGACGGACGUCACAAACGUGUUGUCACAAAUACUGUCAACAUUGUACAUUACGUGUAUAUGCUGCAUUUGUGAAACUGUGAUAUCAAAACAGAGAAAGGGGACAGGAAUUGCCAGAAGAGAGAGAGAAAUGGACAAAGUUAAAAGGUGAGAAAGUUACCCCUCUGAAAAGUCGUCAACAGACUCGGGUUCGGAGAUGAUGCUACCCUUGUCGGAGCCUGUGGUGGAGGCCUGUGUAUUAUGUGUGACGGGCAGGUGCUUGGACGGCUGUCUCUGCACGGUGGAGGUGAGGCCUGGAGUGGCCAGGUUGUUGUGGAUGCCGCUGUGGAUGUUGAGUGAGAAAGUUAGAGGCAUAUAUAUCAUACGCCCCCCAAAAUGCUAACCUCCCC